UCCCUUCCAAUCAAUGAGGUAUAACAAUCUCAUUGACCGGAAGGGAUUCCUUCCGGUCAAUGAGAUGUAACAACCUCAUUGAUUGGAAGGGA
rnacentral:miRNA from 1 species